UACAGAGGUCUCAAGCGUUGUUCGGAUUCAUUGGGCGUAAAGGGUGCGUAUGUGGCGCUGUAAGUCAGGUGUGAAAUUUCGGAGCUUAACUCCGAAACUGCAUUUGAUACUGCGGUGCUCGAGGACUGGAGAGGAGACUGGAAUUUACGGUGUAGCAGUGAAAUGCGUAGAGAUCGUAAGGAAGACCAGUGGCGAAGGCGGGUCUCUGGACAGUUCCUGACACUGAGGCACGAAGGCCAGGGGAGCAAACGGG
rnacentral:rRNA from 1 species